UAGUUACUAUGAUGUUGGCCCGGGUCACUCAGACUGUACUACUAAGGCAAUGCAAAGCGCCUUAAGACCUUAUUUUCUGAUUGAGCCGUGCCAAUAUCUUAGUACUCUUU
rfam:Musa acuminata subsp. malaccensis Doubled-haploid Pahang (DH-Pahang) genomic chromosome, chr8